rnacentral:rRNA from 1 species
AAUCCUACGGGACGCAGCAGUAGGGAAUUUUCGUCAAUGGGCGCAAGCCUGAACGAGCAAUGCCGCGUGAACGAGGAAGGUCUUCGGAUCGUAAAGUUCUGUUGAAGGGGAAAAAGAGCGGAGAGAGGAAAUGGUCUCCGAUUGAUAUUACCCUUCGAGGAAGUCACGGCUAACUACGUGCCAGCAGCCGCGGUAAUACGUAGGUGGCGAGCGUUAUCCGGAAUGAUUGGGCGUAAAGGGAGCGCAGGCGGCGCGUUAAGCCUGGUGUGAAAGCCCGCGGCCCAACCGCGGGACUGCAUUGGGAA